GUGUGGGCUGACGGGGUGGGUGUGUACCUUCCACAGUGAGGGUGGCUGUACUACAGUAUUCAGUGGGAUCCCCAUUCUGCAUGGCCACCACAGUGUACUCGCCACCGUCGCUGAGCUGUGCAUCCUCAAUGAUCAGUUCUGCUCGCUUGCCCUCGUGGUUCAUGCUAUACUUGGAGCCAUGUGCCAGCAGUUGCCCAUCUUUCUUCCAUCUCAGUGUCACAUCCUUGGAAUUCAGCUCACACUCGAGACACGCACGACUCUUCUCUUUCACACGUGCAUUUUUGAGAGUGCUCACAAACUUUAUGGGGAUGCCUGUAGAUAGAAAGACACACAUACUUUGGCCUAUUCCUAAACUCUUAGUAUCCUUUUAGUGCAAUUGUAUGCUGCUUUGCCGUCUUUUUGGCCCUAGAAAAUGUAAGAACUUGACACAUUGAGUAUGUUUUUAUGCAAUACGUGACCCAAGGAACUGCAUGGCAGGGAGAGUCCCAGCUCUUCCCUUACUCAGUUGUUGAUUUCACACACCUCAUUUACCAGGCUGACUGUCAGUUUCCUCUUAUGUAGCGUGGGAUAACAACUUCUACAGCACUGCAGGCAAGAUCUCUGAUAUUGUACCUGCCAUGUCUGAACUUUUGAACCUGCUGUACUUCUCUUGCUUUUUGUUCUCCUUAUUAAGACUUGAGCAUUACCUCAUCAUAUCAGUAUCUGACAUUGCCAGGUGGUGCCCCUUCCUUGUGCUCCCAUGGCCUCUAUAACUGUCUCCAUCACAGCAGUGAUGAUUCCAUGUGGCAGAUCCCAGUUGUGAUUCAUGUGAGUAACAUGUUCAUUGGUGUACCUACCAUCAUGUACAAAUCUCCAAACUAGCAAUAAUAUUGGAAUGCAACAUAAAUGUGCUGUAUGAUAUGAUGUUAAAGCCAUAAUAAUUUCCAUGAUAUCCCACCUCAUAAGACUCCAGCAUGUCUUGAUCCCUAGCCCAAGAACUGCUAUUUUAGUUAUUUUCACACCUGCCUCCCUUACUAGACUAGGAGUUUUCAGAAAACCCUCUUCCCAGUACCUGUCACAUGAACGAAUGGACAGGAGGAUGUAUGAUUGCCCUUGCAGAGGUUACUAUGGCACAAAGCCCACCGCUCAGGUUCUUCCCCAACCACUCACGGUCAAUAGUGAGCUGAGCCUUCUGUACCAGGUUCCCUGCUUGAACAGAGAACUCGCCACUGUCACUGAGUCUGGCAUCCUUUAUCUUAAGUGUGUGGGUCAGACCAUCCUCAGACACUGAGAUUUCAUAUUUGUCAUCCCUCUUCAACUCCUUCCCAUUGAACUUCCACACAAAGUUGGGCUCUUUCUUUGAGAGGCGGACCUCAAACAAAGCUGUCUGGCGCUCUGUCACCUUUAGUGGCUUCAGAUCUCCUAAGAUCUUCAGUGGCUCAUCUGCAGCAAAGAAUGGGGGAGGUUGAACACAGAAGGGAACAUGGAUAUGCAAGUGUCACUGGUGUUCUGUAGACCACCACUGGGGGGAAGCACCCUUUUUCUUUCAUCCCACUGGUGAGCCCUUCUUCUCUGGAGUCUAUUCCCAGGGUCUCCUCUCCAGUAAUGUUAAUAGCCAUUUUUUUAAAAAAAUAUAUUUUA
rnacentral:lncRNA from 1 species